UUUUUUUCCAAUUAUAACUGCUAUUUUUUUUUUCAUUAGUCAAUCUAUAAUUUACAUCUAAUUUCAUAAUAUAUAAAAAAUUGAAUAUUAACCGUCAAGAACUUUCAGAACCCUCCUCUCUUACGGCUUAUAAAAAGGCCUUCAUUUCACUUAGAUUCUGCAAGCUGCUUGCUUUCGUUAUAGUGUUGCUCUUUGUGUUCAGUCUUUGAGAUCUGAGCUAUGACAUGAUUCUUUAGUUUUCACAGUGUCUAUGGUGAGAGUCAUGCAGAUCUGUGUGUUUGCUUAAUUAAGCUAAGCUAAGCUGCAGAUGGAGACGAAUAACUGAGGCCUUAACAAAUGUAGGUAAGAGAGCUUUCUUCAGUCCACUCAUAGGUGGCAAUAAGAUUCAAUUAGCUGCCGACUCAUUCAUCCAAAUGCUGAGUAAUACUCUGGGAGAUGCUCAUCAAAUGAGUGAAUGAUGCGGGAGACAAAUUGAUUCUUAAGUUUCCUGUACUUGGACUGAAGGGAGCUCCCUUUUCCUUUCUAUUAUUUGCUUUUAAAGUGGUCUGUGCUUAUGGAUGCCAAGAAGUUUGUGGAUAACAGCUUUCCAAUUAGGGAUAGAUUUAAGGUUGCCGGAUUGAGGCUCAUUUCUGGUGAAAUGCAUGGCGAUAAGGGUUUUUGAUAGAAGGUUAAACUGCUUCUGUCCAACAAAAGCUAUUCAAGUUCCAAGUAGUAACUGGAGUCUACGCAUGAGAGACAUGUUAGCUCGAGCCCAUACUCAACCCAAGUACAACGUCCACCUCAUCUCGGGUCGCGCUCUUUCUCAGCAACAAGUUCCUAGACAUGGUGUCUGCCACCAGCUUGUUUAAUUACUAACGUGUCCUUGUACAUUACUUUCUCAUUUUUUUUAUGUUUUGAUUUAGUGAGUAAAGUUAUAUUUAGCGGAGGAAAGUUAUUAACAAUUUUGUUAAUGACAUGAGUCUUACUCUUUGUGAUUGUUAGAUCUACAAUAUCUGUUUCAUAUAUAAAUAUUUUGAAGUUUUGGUUAAAUUUUUAUUGUAACAUGGAUAAAAC
rnacentral:sRNA from 1 species